rnacentral:lncRNA from 1 species
CUUUAUUGAACGAUGGGGUCUCAAAUGGGCUGCCUCUUUGCCACUCUUUUGGUAGUAUCAGUCUCUCUUAGCUACUUGCCGUUAGAAGCCUCCGCAAACAAAUACUACUACACAUCUCCUCCCCCUCCCAAAUACAAGUCUCCACCACCACCCCCGCCACCGGUUCACAAUUCUCCACCACCACCCCCGGUUUACCUGCCCCCGCCACCUCCUCCACCAGUCUACGUGCCUGCUCCGGCACCAACUCCAAUUUUCCCUUCUCCGCCACCUCCUGUCCCCAAGUCCCCACCACCACCUCACCCUUACAUCUAUGCAUCUCCCCCUCCUCCUUACUACUACUAGAAAGUGGCCAUGAAUAGCUCAUGCUUUUAUGGUAAUCUCAUUUAUUUUUAAAACUGUACAUGUAAAGACUAGUAGUUCAGAAUUACAUUAAGCAUUUCAAUUUUAAGCACCGUGUUCUGUUUAAUUGCGUUCCUAUUGAUUAAGUGACAAAUAAAAGAGAUUGAUUAAUUUGUUCUUGUAGGAGAGGCGAAUGGUUUCCGAAUAAAGAAAGCAAGGGUUUGAUGGAAGGCUUACUUGGAGCAAGAGAGCGAUCAAUCGAGUUGCUGCGUUUUAUUCUCUUUUAUCUUUGUUUUUUAAGAAAAAUAAACUGCCACACGUAGAAACAGAAAAUUAAGUUCUUGUCAUUUUCAUGCAUAUGGAUUGUUGCUGUGUGUGUCAAUCAAAUCUCCGUUGUGUCAUUUGUAAUUUUCAACCUUUAUGCAUGCAAAUGCGAGACCUCUUACGUAUAAUAAAAUUAAUAUACUUCCAAAGAUGGUCUUAUCUUGCGUUGACUUUUUACGUUCCUUUGGUGAUGAUUUUGACGUUUGAAAUUGAUGACUAUUGUUUUUGUAAACUCUGACAUGGAUUUUUCGUGCAACUACAGAGCGCAUUAACGAGAGACUUAUCCAUGAGGGUCCAUGCAGAUCAGUGUCUAAUUAACCAAUAAUUAAUAUAACUUAAAAAAUAUAGAGUUAAUAAUUUUUAUGGGUCAUGCUCAAUUGCAGAUGUUCGUACAAAAUUUCUUGCUAAUGUAUACUUGAGUAUGAUAAUAAGUUUUAAUCAUUAUUAAUAAUUCACUUGAUAAUAUUAAACAAAUUUUCAUAUCAAUUAAGUUACAAAAUUUCUGUGACAAAUUUCCACGUACUGGAACCAUGCAAAAGGGCUUUAUUCAAGCAAAGCUGCAUAGCCGUUGGCAAUUAAAAUUAUUUAUCAAUUAAGUUAAGUAGUAAGAAUUGGAUUGUGGAUUCCAUUAAUUAUUUCAAGGAAAAUUUUAUAGAUAAUGCCGUAAUGAAAUUUACGGCAUCAAUAUCACGAUAAAUAUAAAUAUUGUAAAUUACAAAUAGAAUUAGUAAAUGUAAAGUAAAACCAGUAAAUUCAUAAAAGAUUAUUAAUUAUUUAAAAAAUUAACAUUGUGUUAUGUUUGCAAGUUUUUGUUUUGUUUACUAGUUUUAUGUUAUGUUUGCAAGUUUUUGUUUUGUUUACUAGUAAUAGAUUAAUGGGUAAUUUUUAAUUGAGUCCUCAUUAGUUCUAGAAAAACAAUUCAGAGACCAGAAGUUUACUAAAUGAAUCAAUUAAAUUCUUUCAAGUACAAACUAAUGUCAUUCAAGUCCUUAACUUAAUUGGUCAGUUAAAAAUAUUAACAACGUCGAGGACAUUUUAGUAAAACAACAAUUGAGUCGUUUCUCAUUCUUUAUUUUUGACAGGUGGAAAUAGUUUAAAGUAAACUCACUUAACCUGAUUAAGUUAAGGAUCAGUUCUUUCAAAUGAAAAAAAAAAAAAAAAAAAACCUACAGAAACUGCCAUAUUCUUCGUGUGGGAGGAGAGAUCGAGAGAACGUGGGAUGGUGCAAAAAAUGUUGUAUAAAUCUACUGUGAUUUUGACCAAAGCUUUGGUAGCAUUGAUUGAGUUCAAGUACUGGAGAGAACCUGAGUUUAAAGGUUAGUAACUCUAUUUUUUUAGUGAUUUCUGCAAGCAUUUUCUGAUAAAAAAUUUUCCGUAUUGAGUGAUCGUUGUGAAAAAUUAAGUUUUUCAAGUCUAUUUUACAAAAUGACAAACUAUGUUUAAUUAUUGGUGGAUUCUUUUUUUUGUUCAAUGUUGUAUUUUGUUAAUUUGUUGUUUUUAAUUUGCUCUUAAUGUAAUUGUUAGACCAAAUACACCAUUAUUAUACCUGUAUUCAUUUCAACAAUUUGGUAUCGUUAUAUUAAUAAGAUUGAAUUCAUUGUAUUUGCUUCUUUGUUCAUGUAAAAUUGAAUUCUAUGUAUUCUUAUGAGUGAUAAUUUUUCUAUCUAUUAGACUAAAUUCACUAUAUUCACGACUUUCUUUCUUUUUGCUGGGCUAUUUUUUCUUUUUAGUUUAUAUUUUUUAUAUGUAUUAGAUUGAAUUUGCUUUUGUACGUUUUUUUAGCCGAAUUACAUGUAUAUUUUAUUUAGGUUGAGUUUUUUUGUUGUUUGCUAAAUAAAAUUCUAUUGGUUUAUCAUUUUUUGAUGCAAUACUUUUUGUUUAAAAUUAAUGCAGGUAGCCAUGUUACCUUUUUUUCGGUUAAAAUUAAUUGGGUGAUGUAUGCGAUAUAGGGAACCAGAGGAAUAUAAGAUUAUUAGGUUGUUUCUUGAAAUUCAAGAUGUCAUGGUUGAGCAUGGACACAGUGAAAUGGAUUUGAUUGAAAUUUCUGUUGUAUUGCCAUGGACUACAAGUAGGCAGAGGAAGCUAAUUUCAAACGAUAGUGAAUUGUAUUGGGUUUUCGAGGAGUUUUUUUUUUUUUUUUAUCAAUAGUUGUCCUGUCAUUGAGUUUGAGGUGCACAUUGGGUCAGGUGGUCAGUCAUUUCAUGAAAGUGUUGUAAUAGGACCUGAAAAUCCUGUCAAUAUAGGUGUUAGUGUUAUAAUAGUGAUAAGUUUGAAAAUCCUGUGGCUAAAAAGGGUAUGCCUAGAAUAAUUGGUACUUCUUUAUUUGCCUCAAAGUUCAACACUAUGAAAUCCACCAAGAAAAAGAAUUUAUCCACUUUAACCAGCAAUCUUCAAUCUUGCCUUCAGGAUAAGCAUGAGAUCUGUCAGCACAUUGCAAUGACACUGUGGUUGGUCUGACUUCUCCAACUUCCAAUUGCUUGAAUUCUGAUAAUGUCAUAAGAUUGAUGGCUUGCUCUCAAAUCACAAAGUGUCUUGCCACUGUAUUUAGUUCCUAUGGAACAAGGAAUUGUGAAACUUCCUGGAUCCUUCAACUUCUGAGGCAUUUUACUCUGAAGCAUAUGGCUGCAUUCUUGUGUUAGAGCAACUAUUUCGAAUUCUCCAAGCCUCCACUACUAGAAAAACAGGCUACUAUGACAGAAUUUUUGUGAUAGAUAUCAGAAAAUUAGUCAUUUAUCACAAAAAUAUAACAUACAUGUGAUAGAAUUUUCAUAUAUCAACAAGGCAUGAUAGAUUUGUGAUAGUUUCUUUAUCUGUCACUUGUACAUGAUAGCAUAUUAAUAUAGUAAUGAAACGGUGAGUUUAAGAUUGGCCAAUUUGGGCAUUGAACGACACCGUGUCUUGAAGCCUUUAAAAAAAAUUCUAAGUGUUGGACACUCCUUUGAACUUCACAUAGAAAACCCUAAUUUCUACAUCCAAACUGAAUCACACAAAAAUACACCAUCACACUUGCCGCCAAUAAAUUGUUGUUGUUCGUCUUUGUCGUCAUCUUCAUCCCCACUCCACAGCUUGCUGGCUAUUCCCAUUUCCCUUUUAUAGCUUGAACAACUGAUCUUCUUCAAGUUCGAGCCACUGUUACUGACUUCUUUCGGGAGAGGUAAGUGAUUAAUUCUUUUUUUUUUUUGAAGAGACAACAAUCACCAUAAAUUUCUCAAAAUCCCUAAAAUUAUGCCAAAAAAAGGAAAAAAUAAAGCCGUUCCAUGGCCUUAAAGGACUGACUUCGAGUUCGUGGACUAACGUGCCAACGACUCCGCUUUAUGGCCUUCGUGGAACGAUUCCGUGACACGCGAGUGGCAGCGUGCUAUUUACGUGGAGUCGGAUCGGAGAAGAUUGUACUACGAGGAGUUGGCGAUGUGAGAAAGACAGCGAGUUAGCUACUACGUCUUCGACUUAGGGUAAAAUUUUGGCAGAAUUUGAACUGAAAUUUAGUGGGUUUUGAGUGGUAAGACGAGGUUUUGAGAGAGGAAAAGGAGUGUUUGGCUGGCGAGAAAGUGAGAGAAAGUUUUUGAGUGUGGAGUGAUGGCUUCUCUGUUUUUACUUCUUUAUUGUUCUUUAUUGAGUAGAUGGUGACGAUACAAACUUUUAACAUUGUUUACUUAAUUAAUUGGAUAACAAUCUUACAUGACUAUUUUGAUUUAUCAGAUAAAUCAGUUAGAGAAGAAUGGAGAUGUUGUUGCUCAGGCACGAGCAAUUACAGCAAUCUAGACACUCUGCCCCGUCUUUCUUUCAAUGUUGUUGGCACACUGAAUAAUUUCCUUAGUGACAAGUUAACCAAAUUUAGAGGUAUAUGUGAUUUUGAUUUGACUUACUCUUAAUGAAAUACAAUAAGGAUUUUUUCUGUUGUUUCUAGGCCUUUUGGAGAGUUCGGAUUGAAGCAACGUUUGCCUUAGCUAAUACAACAUCUAAGGUAUUGUUAUUAUUCUCACCUUUAUUUAUUAAAUAUAUUGAGCACAUGGUAGGUCCACCAAAAUGUAUGCAAAAUCUAUUCACCAGAGGUAUUCGCAUAAAGUGAAUUUUUGUGAGAGACUAUUCUUCAACUGUGAAAACUACUUUGGUAGUUCUCAAACCCAUUACAAUUGAUUGGUGCUUGUGUUUUUCUAUUAGAAAGAUAUCUUCUGUAAAAUCUUUGUGAACUACAUUUUUGGAAAUGCAAAUGCUUUGUGUGGUGGUGAUUGUGCUUAUUUGCUUGGUCUUCUAGCAUUUCAGUGAAAUGAUUUAUUUUGACUUGUGCUUAUGACUAACUUGUUGACAGAGAAACUAGGCCAUUUAUGGAUGCACUGAUAUGAAUCCUAUAAUUUUUCUCUUAAUUGACAUGUUGAACUUUUUGGAAGAUAUUUUUUUUUUAUUUGAUUUGUCACAUAUUGUGCUUUAUUAGUUGGAAAUGUUUUGGUUUGUGGACCAUGUUGCACUUACCAGUUCUCAAUAUUGAUAUAUGAUAUAUACACACUAUUGUACUGGAAAUUGAUUGAGUUGGUUUGCUCCAUCUGGUGAAAUUUUAUAAAAGUCGAAGGUUUGAUGAGAAUAUUGGACUCCCCAAGUGAGAAUCUAUCUAAGUUUGAAAUUGUUCUGAUAUCGUUGCUGCAGCACUUUGUUAACGUUUUUGUUUUCUGCUGAUCAUUCCAGGCCAAAUGAUAUCCGUGAUUUUUCAGAGUAUUUGUUCUUGAGGUAAUGCCUUGAGGUAAGGUAUGUAAUGAGUUGUGUGAAGUGGGAUGUGAUAAUAAUUUUGCCCUCGCUUCAUGUGAUGAAAUCCCACAUAAUUUGCCCUUGCUUUAUGUGAUGAAAUCUUUGGGUGGUUUGUUUAUUUAGUGUUUUUCUAUUUCUUUUUAUAUGCUAAUUUUCAUAGUUCUAGAGCAAGUCUUUCUCUAGUCAUUUUGAAAUACUUCCACAUGCUGCUUCUUAAGCCAAGAUUGUCUUGCCCUAAUGAACAAGUUAAAUGGAUUUGCGUUGCUUGGAGUCUCAGUGUAAUAUAUGUGUUUUAGAACUUAGAUUGAUAAACAAAUUUGAACAAAUACAGUGGAAUAAGAAUAAAGAGAAGAUUAAAAAAAAAAGAGUAGAAAUAAAGAAAAGGAUGGUGAAACUUUAGGAGAAUAGGGGAAUCAAGAGAAGAGGAUAGAAUUUUGAUGGAUUUUAUUUAAUUAUGUAACGGAGGUUUUGUGUUGUUAGAUGUUGUGCGUUAAUUAAUUUGUAAUCUUGGAAAAAUACUUUAUCAUGAAUUGGGUUAAUUGUAAGUGGUCAAUACACUAAUAUAUAUUCUUCUAGCACUCAUCUAAAUGUAAUAUGUGUUUCAGGUGAUGUUGGUGGCUCUUGGGAAUUUACUAUCAGUGUUCUUUUUACGAAUUAAUUGUUUUUCUAAUGAUGGGGUAGUGAUUGAAUAUUGUAGAGAAUUUAUGAGUUAUUCUUACGGAUUUGAUUCACCAUGUAUUUUGAUGAUACUAUUUGUUGGAAGUUUCAAGUAAUUGAAAUUUUUAGUAUAUGGUGAUAUUUGGUAUUUGAUAGUUUUUAUGAAUUUGAAUGUAAUUUUUAUUUCAGUUAAUUCAAAUUUUAAAAUGUGGGUUUUGUUAUUUCUAUUUCAAAAUUCUGGAAUUUAAAUAAUAUUAAUUAGUAUUAUUAUAAUUUCAAAAUUAAAAAUAAUAAUUUUAUUUUUUUAAACCUUAAAUCUCAUGACAGAGAAUGUGAAUCAUUAAUAUAUGAAAGAUUUUGAAAAAGCCCACCAAAUUCAAUAUAAUUUAAAUUACCUGCUAAAAUUUCCAAUUAAUUCUCAAAAGCCUUGCAAAACGACGUCGCUUGGUUCGUGACAUAUGCGUGAUAGAUAUACACUGUCACAGAAACAUGUGAUAGAUAAAAUGUUGUCAUAGAUUUAUGAAAGGGGCUACAAUGACAGAUGGAAACUCUGUCAUAAGAGGGGUCGGAUGACAGAUAUUCUCUGUCAUGAUAGCCCAUUUUUCUAGUAGUGCUCAUUUUCCUUGCCAAUAUACAUUUCCAAAACUUUACAUAAUUUGGCAUUUGUUCCAAUGCUUCCACAAAAGGAAUGUUGAUAUGCAGUUGUUUCAAUACUUCCACCACCUGUCCCCAAGUUCCCACCACCACCUCACCCUUGCGUCUAUGCAUCUCCCCCUCCUCCUUACUACUACUAGAAAGCGGCCAUGAAUAGCUCAUGCUUUUAUGGUAAUCUCAUUUAUUUUUAAAACUGUACAUGUAAAGACUAGUAGUUCAGAAUUACAUUAAGCAUCAAAUUUAAGCACCGUGUUCUAUUUAAUUGCGUUCCUAUUGAUUAAGUGACAAAUAAAAGAGAUUGAUUAAUUUGUUCUUGUAGGAGAGGCGAAUGGUAUCCGAAUAAAGAAAGCAAGGGUUUGAUGGAAGGCUUACUUGGAGCAAGAUAGCGAUCAAUCGAGUUGCUGCGUUUUAUUCUCUUUUAUCUUUGUUUUUUAAGAAAAAUAAACUGCCACACGUAGAAACAGAAAAGUUCUUGUCAUUUUCAUGCAUAUGGAUUGUUGCUGUGUGUUUCAAUCAAUUCUCUGGCGUGUCAUUUGUAAUUUUCAACCUUCAUGCAUGCAAAUGCGAGACCUCUUUCGUAUAAUAAAAUUAGGGGAUUGUCACUUUCCCCCUACAGUAAUUAACAUAUAUUAUUUAUUCUCUUACUAUUUUUAUAAUGGCCAAAAACCCACUGACAACAUAAGUUUACAAUAUUACCUUUAUUUUUAACUACUCUUUUAUUUACAUUUAUUAUAAAUUAAAUAAAUUACAUGAAUAGAAACUAAAUAAAAAAAUUAAGUAUUAAAAAUAAGAAAUAUAUGUUGAUAUGAGGAAAAAAAUUAAUAAUAAAAUUUUUUUCUUGUAAUUAUUUAUUUUGUGAACAUUUUCUUAUAACAUUUUGUAAUAUUUUAAAAUUAAAUGUAAAAAGUAUAGGCAAAAUAUUUUAUUAUUUAUCUUAUAAUAAAUUGUUAUUUGUCAUUCAAAUUUUCUUAUAAUAAUUUUUUUUAUCAUUUUAUAAUAACUUUCUUAUAUAUUUAUUAUAAGAAAAUUUUCACAAAAUAAAUAAGUACAAGAAAAAAAAUUUAUUAUUAAUUUUUUUCUCAUAUCAAAACAUAUAAUAAUUUUUUUCUCAUAUCAAAACAUAUAUUUCUUGUUUUUAAUUCCUAAUUUUUUAUUUGAUUUCUAUUCAUGUGAUUUAUUUAAUUUGUAAUAAAUAUAAAUAAAAGAGUAAUUGAAAAUAAAGGUAAUGUUGUACACUUAUGCUAUCAGGGGAAGUUUUGGCCAUUAUAAAAAUAGUAUGGGAAAAAUAGUAUAUGUUGAUUACUAUAGGAGGGAAAUUAGCAAUCUCCCAAUAAAAUUAAUAUACUUCCCAAGACCGUCUUAUCUUGCGUUGACUUUUUACGUUCCUUUGGUGAUGAUUUUGACGUUUGAAAUUGAUGACUAUUGUUUUUGUAAACUCUGCAUGGAUUUUUCGUGCAACUACAGAGCGCAUUAACGAGAGACUUAUUCAUGAGGGUCCAUGCAGAUCAGUGUCUAAUUAACGAAUAAUUAAUAUAACUUAAAAAAUAUAUAGUUAACAAUUUUUAUGGGUCAUGCUCAAUUGCAGAUGUUCGUACAAAAUUUCUUGCUAAUGUAUACUUGAGUAUGAUAAUAAGUUUUAAUCAUUAUUAAUAAUUCACUUGAUAAUAUUAAACAAAUUUUCAUAUCAAUUAAGUUACAAAAUUUCUAUGACAAAUUUCCACGUACUGGAACCAUGCAAAAGGGCUUUAUUCAAACAAAGCUGCAUAGCCGUUGGCAAUUAAAAUAAUUUAUCAAUUAAGUUAAGUAGUAAGAAUUUUAUUGUGGAUUCGAUUAAUUAUUUCAAGGAAAAUUCUAUCGAUAAUGCCGUAACGAAAAUUACACAUAAAAUUAGUAAAUGUAAAGUAAAACCAGUAAAUUCAUAAAAAAUUAUUAAUUAUUUAAAAAAUUAAUAUUGUUUUUACAUAAUUUUAGUGCAAAAUAUUUUAUUUAGUUACAAAAAAAAUUUCUUUAAUUAAACAAAAAAAUUAUACAGAAAAAAAGUGGAAUACGUUUUAUUGAAUUGGUUACCAUAAAUUCUGUAAUUAUUCUAGGACAUUUGUAUACAUUUUUUUCUCAUUUUCUAUAAUGACAUCUAUUUAUUACACAUGUUAAUUAAGCGCAAUUAUUUAUCUUGAUGUGGAUCAAGUAAAAAUAAAAGAAAAGAUAUAUCAAUCAAAUUAGAUAUAAUUUUGAAUACUAUGUAUACUUUAUGUAGUUUCAAACUUUUUACUUGUAUUUGGAGACCAUUUAAGAUUGUUGUUGAAGAAGUGUAGAAAGAUGUAAAAUAACGUCAUCUUACAACAAUUAUAAUGAUAUCUAUUUAUUACACAUGUUAAUUAAGCACAAUUAUUUAUCUUGAUGUGGAUCAAGUAAAAAUAAAAGAAAAGAUAUAUCAAUAAAAUUAGAUCUAAUUUUGAAUAGGGAGAUUGCCAAUUUUCCCCCUACAGUAAUCAACAUAUACCAUUUUCCCCCCUACUGUUUUUAUAAUGGCCAAAAACCCCCCUGAUAGCAUAAGUGUAUAUUAUUACUCUUAUUUUCAACUACUCUUUUAUUUAUAUUUGUUAUAAAUUAAAUAAAUCACAUGAAUAGAAACCAAAUAAAAAAUUAAGCAUUAAAAACAAGAAAUAUAUGUUUUGAUAUGAGAAAAAAAUUAAUAAUAAUUUUUUUCUUGUACUUAUUUAUUUUGUGAAAAUUUUCUUAUAAUAAAUAUAUAAGAAAGUUAUUAUAAAACGAUAAAACCAAUUAUUAUAAGAAAAUUUGAAUGACAAAUAAAAAUUUAUUAUAAUAUAAAUAAUAAAAUAUUUUGUCUAUACUUUUUACAUUUAAUUUUAAAAUAUUACAAAAUGUUUAUUAUAAGAAAAUGUUCACAAAAUAAAUAAUUACAAGAAAAAAAUUUUAUUAUUAAUUUUUUUUGCUCAUAUCAAAUCAUAUAGUUCUUAUUUUUAAUACUUAAUUUUUUUAUUUAUUUUCUAUUCAUGUAAUUUAUUUAAUUUAUAAUAAAUAUAAAUAAAAGAGUAGUUAAAAAUAAGGGUAAUAUUGUAAACUUACACUGUCAGGGGGUUUUUGGCCAUUAGAAAACAACAAGGGGGUAAAUGGUAUAUGUUAAUUACUGUAGAGGGGAAAGUGACAAUCCCCCUUUUGAAUAUUAUGUAUACCUUAUGUAGUUUCAAACUUUUUACUUGUAUUUGGAGACCAUUUAAAGUUGUUGUUGAAGAAGUGUAGAAAGAUGAAAAAUAACUUCAUCUUACAACAACUGUGAAAGAUAUUAAAAUAAUAUUUUUUCAAAAUCCAAUUUUUAGCAUAAAUUUCAUCCUUAAUUAAACAUCACAUGUAUUAUAUAAAUGAAAAACUAACAUUAUUCAAUUUAAAUUAAAAAAUAAUAAAUAUAUGAGGUAAUAAAUAUUAUAACGAGUUUUUAUUUUAAAAUUGUAAACUUUUGUUUCUGACAGUAACUCUUAUAUUAAUUUACUUAUUUUGCCUUUUAUUCAUAAGUUUUAUGCAUAAUCUACAAACUUUAUGUUUUAUUUUGCAUUUAAUGUUGAUUUACCUUUUUUAUAUUAUAUUUAUAAGUUUUCAUUUGAUUUACCAGUAAUACAUCAAUUUAUCAAUUUUAUAGUAAUUUACUUAUUUUACCUUCUUUUUACAAUUCUUAUGUUUCAUUUUCAAAAUUUAUGUUUUAUUUUACAGUUAUUGAUGAUUUACUAGUUUUAUAUUAUGUUUGCAAGUUUUUGUUUUAUUUACUAGUAAUAAAUUAAUGGGUAAUUUUUAAUUUAGUCCUCAUGUUUUCGAGAAAAAAAUUCAGAGACUAGAAAUUUACUAAAUGAAUCAAUUAAAUUAUUUCAAGCACAAACUAAUGUCAAUCAAGUCCUUAACUUAAUUGCUUAGUUAAAAAUAUUAACAACAUUGAGGAUAUUUUAGUAAAACAACAAUUGAGCCCUUCCUCAUUCUUUAUUUUUGACAUGUGGCAAUAGUUUAAAGUAAAUUCAAUUAACCUAAUUAAGUUAAGGAUCAGUUCUUGCAAACGAAAAAAAAAAAAAAACCUACAAAAACUGCCAUAAUCUUCGUGUGAGAGGAGAGAUCGAGAGAAUGUGGGAUGGUGCCAAAAAUGUUGUAUAAAUCUACUAUGAUUUUGACCAAAGCUUUGUUAGCAUUUGUUGAGUUCAAGUACUGGAGAGAACCUAAUUAUAAAGGUCAGUAACUCUAUUUUUUUAGUGAUUUUUGCAAGCGUUUUUUGAUAAAAUUGUUUCCAUAUUUAGUGAUCGUUGUGAAAAAUUAGGUUUUUCAAGUCUAUUUUUCUAAAUGACAAACUAUGUUUAAUUACUGGUGGUUUUUUUUUUAUUGAAUGUGGUAUUUUGUUAAUACAUUGUUUUUAAUUUGCUCUUCAUGUAAUUAUUAGACCAAAUACGCCAUAAUUAUAUUUGUAUUCAUUUCAACCAAUUGGUAUUGUUAUAUUAAUAAGAUUGAAUUCAUUGUAUUUGCUUCUUUGUUCAUGCAAAAAUUGAAUUCUAUGUGUUCUUAUGAGUGGUAAUUUUUCUAUAUAUUAGAAUAAAUUCACAAUAGUUGCUAAUUUCUUUCUUUUUGCUGGGUUAUUUUUUCUUUUUAGUUUUUAUUUUUUAUAUGUAUUAGAUUGAAUUUGCUUUUGUACUUUUUUUAGCCGAAUUACAUGUAUAUUUCAUUUAGGUUAAGUUUUUUUGUUCUUUGCUAAAUAAAAUUGUAUUGGUUUAUCCUUUUUUGUUGCAAUACUUUUUGUUUUAAAUUGAUGCAAGUAGCCAUGUUACCUUUUGUUUUUCAGUUAAAAUUAAUGGGGUGGUGUAUGAGAUAGGAUAUAGAGAACCAGAGGAAUAUAAGAUUAUUAGGUUGUUUCAUGAAAUUCAAGAAUUCAUGGUUAAGCAUGGACAUAAUGAAAUGGAUAUGAUUGAAAUUUCUAUUGUAUUGCCAUGGACUACAAGUAGGCAGAAAAAGCUAAUUUCAAACGAUAGUGAAUUGUAUUGGGUUUUUUAGGAGUUUUUUUUUUUAUCAAUAGUUGUCAUGUCAUUGAGUUUGAGGUGCACACUGGGUCAGGUGGUCAGUCAUGUCAUGAAAAUGUUGUAAUAGGAUCUGAAAAUCUUAUCAAUAUAGCGGUUGGGUGGGUAGUGAUAAGUUUGAAAAAUUUAGUGAGGAUGGCUUUAUCGGAGGGCUCUCAUCUAAUGAAGAGAAUGGUCUCUCACAUAUGUAUAAAUCCAUUGUUGAUAAUGAGUAGAAACCAAAUCCAAAUAGUUUAAUUAGUCUAAAAGUAGGAAAUACAUUUGAAUCUGUUGCAUUAUUAAGAGAGGUUAUAAUGAAGUAUGCAAUCGAAGAGGGUUUUUAGUUGAAUAGGAUUAAAAAUGAUGGUGUUAGGUAUUAUGUCAAUCUAAAAUGCACUUGGAAACUUAAUGCUUCAUCGAUGGUUGACGGGAUAACUUUUAAAAUUAGGUAUAUUAAAGGGAAACAUGAUUGUCAGAUUAAAUAAGUUAACAAAGAUGCAACAGCACAUUGGAUGAUGUACAUGUCAUAAUGAGAGAGCUAAAAGAUAAACAUAGGAUUGAAUGUGAUAAACAAGAACUAUGCAGGGCAAAAGAAAUUGCACUAAAAAACCUAGGUCUUGACCAUGUUGCUUGCUAUGGAAAGCUUUUGAAAUAUGCUCACAUUCUAAUGAAAAUGAGUAGAGGUGCUUGUGUCAAGCUAAAGUUGAUAGGCCAUUGUCAAAUAGCCUAGUUUUUCAAAGGUUUUUUUAUCAUUUCCCGCACUUAAAGUGGGGUACCUAACUGGGUGUAGACCUUUCAUAAGAUUGGAUGGGUGUCACUUGAAUGGGCCAUAUAGGGGAGUAUUGUUAUCUGUUGUUGCAUUAGAUGCUGACAGUAGAAUUUUGCCACUGGCUUUUUGCAUAUGUGAGGCAGAAAACUAUGAUAGUUGGGGUUAUUUUUUUUAUCUUUUUUGUAUGAAUUCAUUGGGGCCGAUGAUCAUAGACCUGUGACUAUUAUUAGUUAUAGACAAAAAGGUCUUUUAUGGCGACUAAAAAAAUAUUAGCCUAAUGCUAGCACUAGAUAUUGUGCUAGGCAUAUCUUUGCCAAUUGGAAGUGCAGGUUUCCUGGUUUGAAUGUGAUGGGGUUAUUCUGGAAAGCUUGUAGGGCUGCAAAUCAAUAUGACUUUGAGAGGGCAAUGAGUUAAAUUAGGGCUAAAGACCAAAAUUGUUGUUGCUUAAAGAUUGUGGGAAUAUGAGAUAUUUCCUUGGAAACCAGCAUUGGCUCUAAGUUAUUGCUUAAAGAUGUCAAACAUGUACCAUAUAUUCUUCUUAAUUUGAUCUCUACAGGCAAGCUUGAUGAUGAUGGUUAUACCAACUAAUUUGGUGAAGGAGUAUGUAAGCUCACCAAAGGCUCCUUAGUGUUAGUUAAAGAGAGGAAAGUAAACACCCUCUAUGUGUGAUAACUCUAUGAAACGAGAGUUAUUAUAGAAAUUCUAAACUUAAAUCAAUAUUACUUACAGAGUAAAUGAUGUGUUUCUAUUGUAUUUUUGUUACAUUGUGUAUAAACAUUCAUUUUAGUUUAGUCUUAAUAAAUUUUGCUUAAUUUAGAAUAAUUCGUGCUUAAAUUGUGUGCAUAAUUAUAGGUGUCUAGAAGCUCAUAUCUCAUGGAAGGAGUGUUGAUGCAAUAGGCUUGUAAAAAUGAGGAAGAACAUGGCUACAAAAGAAUUGAAACAAAUCUGGAAUAAUGUAGUGUUGUAGCCGUUCUUGUAGCAACCAUUGCUGUAGCAAUCCUGGAACAACGAUAGAGAAAAUUUAGCACGAGAUACUUGUAGAAUCAAGAUCUGCAAUUUCUUAAUUUGACUUAUGCGCGCCCUGGGCUUCUGUUUACCCUAGUUUUCAGUUAUAAAAAGAGCACGCAUCAUAUGGUAAAAGGGGCGGUGAAUUAACAGCAAAGAAAUCAAGAGGAAAAGAAUGAAAAAUCAGAAUUCAAGGGAGAACAAGUCUGCACCAGUGAAGAUAUUGGCAUAACUAUUUGGAUUCAAUUUUCAUCGUUCUUUACUUAUCCCUUUUCUUACUCUUUGAUUGAACCGAUGGAUUUCAUCGCUGAUACUUUGUUGUUUGUUUUUCUUUUCCAAAGUAUGAACUAAAUUUGAUUGUAAUUGAGUGACAAACAAUCUCAAUGGGUUCUUGACUGUUCUUAUGAGUUAUUAAAAGAUUGCUGUAGCAUUUUGCUGUAAUAGCUUAUAUUAGAAUUAUUAUUUCGGUUGACCUCCCAUUUAAUGGUUCAAGUUAAGAGAGAGCCACAAAAUGGCAUGUCUUAGUGGAAAUUAUUAGAGUAAUACUUGAUCUUAAUUUAAGUUUUCUGGAUUGAGUUUAACUUGAGCCCCAAAAGAGCCACACUUGAGUUAAGAUUUGUGAAGAACUAGAUAUAGGGAUUCACCUUAUAGGGUAGAGGGGGUGUAUGUUCAUAAUGCCAUACCUUAGGUGAAAUGACAACUGGUCAUUGUUAGAGUGCUUAAGGGUAUGAGAAGUCCAACAAGCGACAGCUGAGGAUGCAAAAUAAUUUUGCACUGUGCUGUUGGAAUUGCUGUAAUAACUGGUGUUUAUUUGAACAGAACAGUCAGCCCAUGAAUAGAGUUUGAUCAUUCAGCUACCUCAUUCUCAUUAAAUUCUUCUUUACGCAAUUCAUCUAAUUUACUUUAUUACUGCAUUUAUUUUAUUAAAAUUGUUAAUUUCGGUAGUAAUAAACUUUAAUUAGAUUUCUCUUUAGAUAAAAGAAAUUUGCACUGUCGUGAUUGCUAUAGCAUUUCUAGUAAUAUCAGUUCAUGUGGAGACGAUCUUGAAUAUUCAUCAUUUUAUUACUUGUUGUGUACACUUGCACAUGAUAUCAAUAGCAAUUGAGUUAAAUUAAAUAACAAGUUUUUGGCGCCGUUGCCGGAGAUUGAUUGUUUAUUUUUGAAGUGUGAAGUCAAUCUUGACAAAUGCCAACUUGAUCUAAUUCAUUCUAUUUAUUGACAGAUCAUGACUUGCAUGGGCAAAGGCAGAUCUGUUGAAUUUCAAUUUGAUCCUGAGAUUGAAAGGACUGUAAGGAGAUUGCGAAGAGAGUGAAGAAAUUCAAAAACUGUUUCAAAAAUGGAUAACUUGCAAGAUGUGGGAAACUUGGAUCCUCACGGGCCACUACAACCUGUCAAUGUUCAAGAGGGGCAAAUGGGCACGUUAAUCAAAGACAACCAAGCAACAACAAUAUCAUUUACAUGGAAGACGAUAGAGAUAGGGUUAUCAGAGAUUAUGUUGUGUUAACUCCUUAAGUUGUACAUCUUGGAAUAGUCAGACCUGAAGUGGAAGCCGCCAACUUUGAACUUAAACCGGUAAUGUUUCAAAUGCUACAAAUAGUGGGUCAAUUUAAUGGACUGUCAUCUGAAGAUCCUCAUCUCCAUCUUAAGUUUUUUUUGGAAGUAAGUAAUGCUUUUAAAACUGCUGGAACAACGCAUAAUGCUUUGAGACUGAGGCUUUUUCCUUACUCCUUAAGAGAUCGAGCAAGAGCAUGGUUGAAUUCCUUACCAUCUGAUUCCAUCACUACAUGGAAUGACUUGGCUGACAAAUUCUUAAUGAAAUAUUUUCCACCAACCAAGAAUGAAAAAUUGCAAAAUGAGAUCACCUCUUUUCAUCAACUUGAAGAUGAGAGCUUGUUUGAGGCUUGGGAGAGAUUUAAAGAGUUUCUCAGAAGAUGUCCUCAUCAUGGCAUUCCCUGUUGCAUACAGCUAGAAACCUUUUACAAUGGGUUGAAUCCAAGUACAAGAUUGAUUGUCGAUGCUUCAGCAAAUGGAGCCCUAUUAUCCAAAUCUUACACUGAAGCUUAUGAAAUUUUGGAGAGAAUUCCUAACAAUAACUACCAGUGGCCAUCAACUGAAAAACUGUAGCAAGAGAAGCAGCAGGGGUACAUAACAUAGAUGCAAUUACAGCACUGUCAGCUCAAGUAACAUCAUUGACUAACAUGGUAAAAGCCAUGACUUCUACUUCUACAGUAGUAAAGCAAGUUGCUGAACUAUCUUGUGUGUAUUGUGGUGAGGAGCAUGUAUUUGACAAACUGUCUAGGAAAUCCAGCAUCAGUAAACUAUGUGGGAAACUUCAACCGACAGCCCUAGAACAACCCAUAUUCAAGUACUUACAACCCUGGAUGGAAUCAACACCCAAAUUUCUCAUGGAGCAAUCAAAAUCAGCAUGCUUCAGCACCUAGUGGACAGAACAAACAUGCUCAUCCACUUGGUUUUCAUCAGCAAAAUUAAGAGCAAAAACACACUAGCCAUGAUCAAAUCACCUCAUUGGAAACACUUUUUAAGGAAUGUAUCGUAAAGAAUGAAGCAAUUGUGCAAAAUCAAGCUGUAUCUCUGAGAAACCUGAAAAACCAAAUUGGACAGUUUGCCACAGCAAUGAGUAGUAGAUCUUAGGGAAGUUUACCCAGCAAAACAGAAGAUCCAAGAAGAGAGGUAAAAAACAUUGUAAAGUAAUCAACUUAAGAUAUGGGAAGAAUGUUGAUAUUGCUGUUGAUGUGACUAAAAAGAGGUUGGAACUUAACUCCUCACAAGAACCACCUCAAGAUGAAAUGAUGUUACAGCAACCCAGCCACUAAGAUACUGGCACUAGUGGUCAAGCUACAGCAACCUUGGAAGAAAAUCACCCAAUACCUAUUGAAGAAGAUGUUGCAACACCAGUGGUGACAAAUUACAAUAAAUCAAAUGAGCAGAUAUUGGUACCUCUUGAAGUUGUACAACAAUUUAGGCAUCCACCUCCUUUCCCACAGAGAUUCCAGAAACAAAAACAAGACUAAUAGUUUAGCAAAUUCCUGAAAGUGCUGAAACAGUUACACAUCAACAUACCUUUUGUGGAAGCAUUAGAGCAAAUGCCUAAUUAUGUGAAAUUUCUAAAAGAUAUUUUAACAAGAAAAAGAAGGUUGGGAGAAUUUGAAACUGUUGCUUUAACACAGGAAUGCAGUCACAUGUUUCAGAGUAAGAUUCCUAAAAAAUUAAAGGAUCCAGGAAGCUUCACAAUAUCAUGUUCAAUUGGAACUAAGUACAAUGGCAGAGCACUCUGUGACUUGGAGCCAGCAUUAAUCUAAUGUCAUUAUCUCUAUUUAAGCAAUUAGGAGUAGACUUUGAGUCUGAUAAAGAGGUACCAAUUAUAUUUGGAAGACCUUUCCUGGCAACCAGGAAGACUCUGAUAGAUGUUCAGAAAUGAGAGCUAACCAUGAGGGUGAAUGACCAACAAGUCACCUUCAAUGUAUUAGAAGCUAUGAAGAGUCCUGAUGAGGCAGAAGAUUAUAAUUUUUUUAGUGUUGUGGACCUUGUUGUGGCAGACAGAAUAAAUAGAUGCUGCAGUAAAAAGGUUAUCAAAGCUGCCACCUUUGAAAGCUUUGAAGAAGAAAAUGUUACAGCAAACCAGAUAGAUUGGAUGGUAGAAAGGCAAUCUAAAAGACAUAGCAGAUUUAUCGAACCUCUAAAUCUUUCAAACAGGGACAUAAAGACAACUUUACCAUCUAUUGAAUCAACUCCUACUCUUGAAUUAAAAUUGUUACCUUCACAUUUGAAAUAUUCAUAUCUUGGUGAGAACAAUACACUUCCGGUAAUCAUUUCAUAUUCUUUAGAUGCAGAUCAAGAAAGAAGUCUGGUAUAUGUGCUUAGGAAAUAAAGAAAAACAAUUGGAUGGACUAUGACAGACAUUAAACGGAUCAGCCCAUCCAUAUGCAUACAUAAAAUUCUGUUAGAAGACUGCUAUAGCAAUUCAGUAGAGCAACAGAGAAGGCUAAACCCCAUUAUGAAGGAAGUUGUAAAGAAAUAAAUCAUCAAAUGGCUGGAUGUUGGGAUCAUAUACCUGAUAUCAGACAGUUCAUGGGUGAGCCCAGUACAAUGUGUUCCAAAGAAAUAAGGAAUAACAGUAAUAGAAAAUGAAAAGAAUGAACUUAUUCCUACAAGAACAAUGACUGGAUGAAGGGUAUGUAUGGAUUAUAAGAAGCUCGACAAAGCCACACGGAAGGAUCACUUCUACUUUCAUUUAUAGAUCAAAUGUUAGACAGAUUUGCUGGAAAAUAAUAUUAUUGUUUCCUAAAUGGGUAUUUAGGUUACAACCAAAUUGUUAUACCCCCAGAAGAUCAGGAAAAGACUACAUUCACCUGUCCUUAUGGAACUUUUGCCUUUAAAAGAAUGCCCUUUGGUCUGUGUAAUGCUCCAGCAACUUUCCAGAGAUGUAUGAUGUCUAUUUUCUCAGAUAUGGUGGAGCAAACAUUGGAAGCCUUCAUGGAUGAUUUCUCAGUUUUUGGAGAAACAUACACUGAUUGUUUACAUAACUUGGAAGAAGCUCUUAAAAAAUGUGAGAUGACUAACUUAGUACUCAAUUGGGAAAAAUGCCACUUCAUGGUGCAAGAAGGCAUAAUGUUGGGUCAUAGAGUGUCCAAGAAUGGCAUAGAGGUAGAUAAAGCAAAAAUAGAAGUGAUAGAUAAACUGCCACCUCCCACUUCAGUCAAGGGUAUUAUAAGUUUUUUGGGACAUGUUGAAUUCUACAGAAGAUUCAUAAAAGACUUCUCCAAAGUAGCUAAACCAUUAUGCUCACUACUAGAACAUGACAAGCCUUUUCAUUUUGAUAAAGACUGUCUUUAAGCUUUUAAAGAAUUGAAGAAAAUUUUGAUCAUUGCACCAAUGGUUAUAACACUAGAUUUGACUCUAUCUUUUGAGCUGAUGUGUGAUGCCAGUGACCACUCUGUUGGGGCAGUGCUGGGGCAGAGAAAGAAUAAGAUUUUCCACUCUAUAUACUAUGCCAGUAAAACUCUUGUUCAAGCUCAGAUUAAUUACACCACUACAGAAAAAGAGCUGCUAGUAGUAGUAUUUGAUUUCAAUAAGUUUAAAGCUUACUUGGUGGGUACUAAAGUGACAAUCUACACAGAUCAUGCAGCCAUCAAGCACUUAAUCUCAAAGAGAGAUGCCAAACCAAGAUUAAUAAGAUGGGUAUUAUUGCUUCAAGAGUUUGAUUUGGAAAUUAAGGAUAGAAAGGGGACUGAAAAUCAAGUAGCAAACCAUCUAUCGAGGCUGAAAGCAAAUACGAGCACAUUGACUAAACAAGACAUCACUGAAACAUUUCCUGAUGAACAACUGUUAGUGCUAUAACAUGCACAGAUGCUACAGCAACCGAGAUCUCCAUGGUAUGGAGAUUUUGCUAACUACUUAGUAAGUGGAUUGCUACCACCUGGGUUGAAUUUUCAGUAGAAAAAGAAAUUUCAUUUUCAGUAGAAAAAGAAAUUUCAUUUUCAGUAGAAAAAAAAUUUUCAUUUUCAGUAGAAAAAAAAUUUUCAUUUUCAGUAGAAAAAGAAAUUUUCAUUUUCAGUAGAAAAAGAAAUUUUUUCAUGAUGUUAAAAGCUACCAGUGGGAUGAUCCAUACUUGUAUAAGUUAUGCUUAGAUCAGGUAAUCCGAAGAUGUGUUUCAGAGGAAGCAAUUUCACAUAUACUGCAAUAUGGCCAUGCUGCAGCAUAUGAAGGACAUUUUGGUGGACAAAGAACAACUGCUAAAGUUCUACAAUCAGGUUAUUACUGGCUUUCUAUUUUUAAGGAUACUUAUGAGUUUGCUAAACGUUGUGACAGAUGCCAAAAGACAGGAAACAUAACUCAAAGACAUGAAAUGUCAUUAACAAACAUUCUGGAAGUGGAGAUUUUUUAUGUAUAGGGAAUAGACUUCAUGGGCCUUUUCCCACCAUCCUUUGAGAAUUUUUAUAUCCUGGUUGCUGUGGAUUAUGUCUCCAAGUGGGUAGAAGCUGCAGCAUUACCUAUCAACGAUGCAAGAGCAAUAGUGAAUUUUCUUCAGAAAAAUAUUUUUUCCAGGUUUGGCACUCCACGAGCAAUUAUUAGUGAUGAGGGUACUCAUUUCUGCAACAAAGCAUUUGCUGCAGCAAUGGCCAAAUAUAGAGUCAAACACAAAAUUGCGACAGCAUAUCACCCACAAUCCAAUGGCCAGGCAAAAGUAUCUAAUAGGGAAAUUAAGAAGAUUCUAGAAAAGGUAGUGAAUCCUUCAAGAAAGGAUUGGUCAUUGCGAUUACAUAAAUCUUUAUAGGCUUUCAGAACAGCAUAGAAGACACCACUUGGCAUGUCUCCCUACCAAAUUGUGUAUGGAGCACAAAGCAUAUUGGGCACUGAAGCAAUUAAAUUAGGAUAUACAUGCUGCAACAGAGCAGAGGAAACUUCAACUAUGUGAACUUGAUGAAUUACGGUUAUUCUCAUAUGAAAAUGCAAGAAUCUAUAAGGAGAGAACAAAACAAUGGCAUGACAAGCACAUCCAAUAAAGAAAAUUAAUCCCUGGUCAACUAGUUCUGCUCCAUAAUACUAGGUUAAGACUAUUUCCAGGAAAGCUGAAAUCUAGAUGGUCUGGACUUUUCAAGCUGCUCAGAAUUUACCCUCAUGGGGCUGUUGAACUCUUAGAUGGAAAGACAGGCCAAGAAUUCAAAGUUAAUGGGCACAGAGUUAAGCAUUACAUGCAUUCAGUUACAGAUUGUUCAAAUGAGGUCGUACUCCUUAGUAAACCGGCAUUGUGAGCAUUCAAGAAAGGUCACGUUGAAGGACCUUAAAUCAAACAUUGAAUGGGAGGCAACCCAUUGCUGAGGCAGUCAUUUCAAAUGAAGUGGAUCCUCCAUGUUUUUGUUGUAGUAUUUAUUUAUUUAUUAUUUUUCUUAGUUAGGAUUGUUUAAUUUUUAUCUUUUAUUGUUUUAUUUUAAAAAAAAACGAAACAUGCCAAGUCACGCAAUUCUUAGAGUUGGAUUCAAUACUGACAAUUGGUGUUGUAAUAUUAACAGGUUACAAAGGCAAGUUACUUGACAGCAACCAUCUGAGGAGAUUGUUGUGCAGAUUGCUAGAGCAUACAUUUUGUUGCUGCAACAACCAAUUUUAUUAUUACAGUAACUUAACUACGGAGCCUCACAUUUUACCGUUGGAGAUAACAUGUGACAGCUAGUUGGGUGAACUCAGAUAAAGAUUGGGGAAGAAUGCAUAAUCUCUUAAAUAACUGCAUCAAUAUCUCUUUCCUAUUUUUAUGGGAUAUGCUUAAUAAAUUCAAAAAUUCUUCCCUAAUUUAUCUCUUUUACCAAAUUUAUUUUAUUUAUUUUGCACCUAUAUAAGAGUUUCAUUGUGCAUGUUGACCUCUAACACUAUUUUCUUUUCCCUUCACAGUCACAACCCCUCUAUUUUAUAACCUCUGCUCUUCGUUUCACUCUUGAACAUAUUACCACAGUUAUCCUACUACUGCAGUAAUGCCAAGGUAUAAAAGGACAGCCAGCCGACUAAACGAUCUAUCACAAUUUUAAAGUUACCAUGCGGAAGAGAAGUAUGAAGAAUUUAUUGAACCGCGCAAGAUUUUGGAAGAAAAAGGGCUUCAGUUCCCACCUCAACCCUCUAGAAUUGUGCAAUCAUUAUACGAUGCUGCAGCAAAGCACGGGUGGCUGGAGUUUUGUAACCACCCCCGAGAUCCUGUGUUGGAGCUAUUUGCAGCACUUGGAGGACCACCUACACCAAUUUGUUGUAUAUAUAAAAGUACCCAUAACAAUUUCCCUGAUUCACUGCUACAACAGUACAAUUUUGGUACCUCCAUUAUAGAAGUCAGUGAAGAUGUUGCUGACACAGAUAAACAUGAGGAAGAAACAGCAGCAGAACAGCAAGCAGAUGCUGAUAUAGAUGCUGAUAACCAGUCAGACCAGCAUGAAGAAUAAUGUGUCCAGUCUACAAUUGAUAGUUCCCCGACAGAGGAGGAGGAAAAGCAUGAGAAAGAACUCGAAGAACCCUCAGCCAGGACCUUUUCCAAGUCCAGGAAAAAGCACAUCAUACGAGAAAAGGAAGAUGAACCUGCAGAGGAGCCUCCCAUUCCAUUCCUCUCUCGAAAGGGCAAAGAGAAAGUAAUUACCCCUCCUGCAUCUGACGAUGAAGCCGAGCACAUUGAUGCAGAAUUGGAAGUUGCAGCAGCCAGGGUUACUCGUACACCCAUCGAGACAAAGCAUAUGCUUGAUAUCAUUGCCGCAAUCAUGACUGAGGGGUAUACAGUCGAAGACCCAACUCCAGCUCCCUCACGGCAAACCCCCAGCAAACCUAUUCUCGCUAGUCCUAAAGGACCCAGCAAAAGAAAGGGGGGCACUUCUGGAGGCAUUGCUGCAGUAGACACACCAGAGCCAAAGAGGACCAUAUCUGUUUUGUCCCAGCCAGCUGCACCCACUGCAACUCCUCCUACUAGCCCAUCGCAAAGAAAGAAAAAGUCAUUGCCAACUACCUCACCGCAAGAAUCUCCUAAAGACCGACUGCGGAGCGCCUCCAAAAAGCGGUGAAUUGGUUAUAAUUUAUUGCAGCAGUAUUUCUAGCACCAGGGGAGUACCACUACCCGCUAGUUUAUUUUACUUCUUCAUGCAACAACUUUUUCUUCAUUUAGUUUUAAUUUUCUGAUUUAUUUUGCAUGUCUUUUUAUUUAGUAUAUGCAUAUCUGGUUUAUAUGGUUUUGUUUUGUGUGCCUGUGAAGACACAACACCUUUCAAGUUUUGGGGGGUUGUGCUAUCAUAUAGUGUGUUAUUGAGUGCAUUGCAUGUGUUGUGGUGUUGUUUGUGAAGUGAAGCUCUGUAUCUACUGCUUAUGUAUGGAUUUGAAAGCCUAAUGAAGAUAAAUUGAGUGUUACUCAGUAUGUAUGAGAAUGCCCAGUAGGGAUAGUCAUAGAUGGAGAUUGAAAUUAUGUCCCGACACUUAGACUUUGGUUGAAAUUCAUGAGACUGCUGCAGCAAAAUCAAGAAAACUGCAAAGAGUAGAAAAUAUAUCAAGUUUAGGGGAAAUGUGUGUGUUGAGUUGUGCUUAUUAAAGUCUGUUCCAAUGGCUUAAAUGGUUGAGUAACUACGGCUGAGUAUGUACCCCAUAUGCAGACUUGAGUUAAAAAGCAACAAGAGUUAUGAGCAUUGUUGUAGCAAUUGAAAAAAAAAAGAAAAAAAAAAGAAGUCCUCUGUCUGAGAAAUUGAGUAGCCAUGUCUGUUAAUGAGCCCCAUGUUCAGCCUUGAGUUAAAGAUAUCUUUAGAUAAGACUAUGUUAUGACCAUUGCUAUAGCAACUCUGACAUGUACGUUGAGUAAGUAAUUGGGUGUCAUCAUUACAAGUGAUAGGCAUUCACAUGAAAGUUCAAUGUUGUAUUGAAGGGAGUGAAUAUAUAGAUAUAUAUAUAUAUAUAUAUAUUGUUUGUUGAAGCACAAUUUAUGUUUAUUUGUGAAUUAUGCUCUCCCAUAUAUGAAUAUAUUUGUGUUCUACCUUUGAAUUACAUGCAAUAUCUCUGUAAUGUUGUAGCAUCUCUGGACUUUGAUCAAAGUGGCACACACAUUUUGGACAGAAUGCAGCCUAAGUCUAGAACUGAACUGUUAUGGCUAUUUUGCAUGAUUAAGAGUGUGAUCUGAGGGUGGAAGAAUCCUUGCAACUUUGAUGAUAAAGCUGAGCUAUUUGUUGCAUGAUUGAGUGAUUGAAGUGUUAGCAUUGUUGUCAUUACUUAAAAACAAGUAAUGGUUUAAGUUUGGGGGUGUGAUAACUCUAUGAAAUGAGCGUUAUUAUGGUAAUGCUAGAAUUAAAUCAAUAUUUACUUAGAGAGUAAAUAAUGUGUUUCUAUUAUAUUUUUCUAUUGUAUUUAAUAAAUUUUACUUAGUUUAGAAUAAUUUGUGCUUAAAUUGUGUGCAUAAUUGUAGGUGUCCAGAAGCUCAUAUCUCAUGGAAGGAGUGCUGAUGCAAUAGGCUUGUAAAAAUGAGGAAGAACAUGGCUACAAAAGAAUUGAAACAAAUCUGGAACAAUGUAGUGUUGUAGCCGUUGCUGUAGCAACCAUUACUGUAGCAAUCCUGGAACAACGACAGAGAAAAUUUAGCGCGGGAUACUUGUAGAAUCGAGAUCUGCAGUUUUCUAAUCUGACUUAUGCGCGUCUUAGGCUUUUGUUUACCCUAAUUUUCAGUUAUAAAAAGAGCACGCAUCAUAUGGUAAAGGGGGCGGUGAAUUAACAUCGAAUAAAUAAAUCAAGAGGAAAAGAAGGAAAAAUCAGAAUUCAAGGGAGAGCAAGUUUGCACUAGUGAAGAGAUCGGCAGAACUAUUUGGAUUCAAUUUUCAUCAUUCUUUACUUGUCCCCUUUCUUACUCUUUGAUUGAACCGAUGUAUUUCAUGGCUGAUACUUUGUUGUUUGUUUUUCUUUUCCAAAGUAUGAACUAAAUUUGAUUGUAGUUGAGUGACAAAUAAUCGCAAUGGGUUUUUGACUAUUCUUAUGAGUUGCUGAAAAAUUGAUGUAGCAUUUUGCUCUAAUAGCUUAUAUUACAAUCAUUAUUUCGGUUGACUUCUCAUUUAAUGGUUAAAGUUAAAAGAAAGCCGUAAAAGGGCCUGUAUUAGUGGAAAUUAUUAGAGUAAUACUUGAUCUUAAUUUAAGUUUCCUAAAUUGAGUUUAACGUGAGUGCCAAAAUAGCCACACUUAAGUUAAGAUUUGUGAAGAACUAGAUAUAUGGAUUCAUCUUGUAGGGUAGAGGGGGUGUAUGUUCAUAAUGUCAUACCUUAGGUGAAAUAACAACUGGUCAUUGUUAGGGUGCUUAAGGGUAUGAGAAGUCCAACAAGAGACAGUUGAGGAUGCAAAAUAAUUAUGCCCAUGAAGAGAGUUUGAUCAUUCAGCUACCUCAUUCUCUUUAAAUUCUUCUUUACGCAAUUCAUCUAAUUUACUUUAUUACUGCAUUUAUUUUAUUAAAAUUGUUAAUUUCAGUAGUAAUCAACUUUAAUUAGAUUUCUCUUUAGAUAAAAGAAGUUUGCACUGUCGUGAUUGCUGUAGCAUUUCUAGUAACAUCAAUCCAUGUGGAGACGAUCUUGAAUAUUCAUCACUUUAUUACUUGUUGUGUACAUUUGCAUAUGACAUCAAUAACAAUUGAGUUAAAUUAACCAACAAUGUGUUAGAAGCCAAGAUUAAGAAAGAAGAUGUGAAUGUGGCUAUAAAAGAUUCUGACAUUGAGACAUGGUAUAAAAAGUUUGGUCACAUUGGUGAAAAAGGGUUAGAAACUCUUGCCAGAAAAAGAUUUCUACCCAGCUUCGUAGAUAUGUCCCUCAAGACUUUUGCUCAUUCCUUAGCUGGAAAGACACACAGAGUAGCUUUUAAAAGGUUUUCUCCAUCUAGAAAGUCGCAAAUCCUUGAUUUGAUUCACACUGAUUUUUGCAUGAUGUAAAGUAGAUCAAUUGGAGGUGCACUUUAUUUUGUUACUUUUAUUGAUGACUAUUCUACAAAGGUGUGGGCUUUUGCUUUGAAAUCUAAAGAUCAAGUGCUUGAUAUAUUUAAGUUCUUCCAUACUUAUUUUGAGAGAGAGACGAGAAGAAAAUUAAAAUGCGUCAGGGUAGAUAAUGGUGGUGAGUAUAAAAGGCCAUUUGACCAAUAUUGCAGAUCCCAUAGAAUUAGACUUGAGAAGACCGUACUAAAACCCCACUGUAGAAUGGUAUUGCAGAAAUGAUGAACAGAACAAUUGAAAAGAGAGUCAGGUGUAUGCCUUCUGAUGCCAAGCUUCAUAAAUCCUUCUGGGCAGAGACUAUGCGUUCUGCAGUUGACUGGAUUAAAUUUUUCUCCUUCAGCUCCAUUGAUGGUGAUGUACCUGAGAUAGUUUGGACUGAAAUAUAUGUUUAUUACAAACACUUGAGAGUGUUUGGUUACAGAAUAUAUGUUCACAUUCAUAAGGAUGAAAGAUCGAAGCUUGAUGACAAAGCUAAAAAAUGCAUUUUCUUAGGCUAUGGGCAUAAAGAAUUUGGGUACAGAUUAUGGGAUCCAGUGCCAAGAAAAUUGAUCAGAAGUAAACAUGUUGUGUUCCUCGAAGAUCAAAUAGUUAGUGAUGCAGAGAAUAGUGAUGAGUCUCAGUCAUCUCUAAAGAUUCCUAUUAUUCUAACUUUAGUUUCUUCAUCUAUAGUUCAUAAUGAUCAUGGAGGAGCUGGAGAGGAUAGUAAUGAUGGUCCAGCAGAACUAGUUGACCAAGCACCUCCAGAACCACCUGCACCAUCAAUGGAGCCUGAAUUGAGAAGAUUUACUAGAGAACGGUGACCUUCCACCAGAUAUCCUCCACAUGAGUAUAUGAUGCUUACAGAUGAAGGGGAGCCAUAAUGUUUUGAAGAAGCCAUGUUUCAAAUAACUCACAAUAACGAUACAAGGCUAGACUGGUUGAUGGGGUACCUAGCAACUUCUUGUUGUGUGGGCUGAUCAGACUUUACUUUCUUAGUUUCUGAUUCUUCUUAUGCUUGCAUUGUUACAGCAUAUACGGAGGGUUGUGCCUUUUUACGCUUGUUGGAUGCCCUAGGAGUUCUGCUAGGAGAUUUGAUGGGAGGUUGUUGAGUAAUGCUUACUGUAGUAGUUUCCCCAGAUGUGAUUUUAGCAAUAAUAUCAGGGAAACUCUUAUUUGCUUCAUCAGUUUUUGUAGCCCUGGUAUCAGCUGCUUUAAUUUCUGCAUCAAUAUCAUCUUGAUCAUUGUCUGAUUCUUCAUCAGUCAGAACUUUUUGUUUACCUUUACUUAGAAACACUGUAAUCGGGGGUUCAUCAUCCUGCCCAUCCUAUGUCUCAUCUUCGUAAACUUUUAUGAUGUGCUUCUUUUUACGUUUAGGAGGUACUACUGGAGGUGCCUCAUCCUUCUACGUUGCUGAUUCGUCUUCUGUACUAUAUUCCUCCUCUAUUUCUUCUUAUUAUUUUUCCUUCUUCUCUUUCUCUUCCUCUGCUGGUAGUGGGUCUUUUUCAGAUUCUAAUUCUUCUUCACUCUCUGCUGCUGCCUCAACUACUGGAGCAUCCCUUGUUAAUGUUUGGAAAUUAAACGGCUACAACAAGGAGUCAUGGAAAUCUUUGCUCUUUUUCUUCAUGUAGACUUCAAACUAAUGUCUAUGGUUUUCAAGGUGCAUUAAAUAAUUCCUGAAUCUUUGAUUUUGUUCUUUCCAUGCGUGUACACAUUCAUUAAUGGUGUCACUUAAUUCUUGCAGCUUCAUCUCAAUGCCAGUAACGUUCAUUGCUCUGGUCACAACAACAUACUCUGGUGUUGCUGUAGUAGUAGUUUCCCUAGCAAUUCUUUCAACAAUUCGAUCAGUAAGAGCUCAUUCAUUCUUAAUGCUUUCAUCUUUUGCUGAUAUUUUCACCCGAAAUACCAGACAAAUCCUAGUAAUGAGUGAGCGAAACAACAAAGCAGCAAUCUUGUGAUUUUUCAUGGCACACUCUAAUCUCCCUCUCUAUAAUUUUCCUCACAUCAAUUGGUAUACCCUUGAAAAUGGCAUAUAAUAGGUAAGAUUUUCAUGAGAUACGGUGGUGGUGUAUGUGGUGGGUAUCAAUCGAGAUUUUAGAAAUUUUACCCACACUUUGGCUACUGGUUUCAAAUCAAUUCUAUUCACUCCUCUGCCUUCCUCAUUCAACCAUGAACUACCCUCCACCAUAAGGAUUUCAAGCACAUCACUUCACUCCUUAGCAAUCAUAUUCUCAAUCAUUUUUGAAUACUCACAAUCAAUAUCAUAUGGUAAAUUAUAAAAAAGCAUUGAUUACCCUCGGAUCUAAAGGGACUUGAACAUUCCUUACCACUAUUGUGCAUUGGUCUUGCCGCAACAUGUUGGAGUAAAAUUCCUUAACGAUUGGGAGCACAAGGUCUCGUGGGUGAGUGUAAAAAUCUAGCCAUCUUUUCUUUGCUACAGCAACAUAGAUUGUGUUGAUUGUUCCUGAUGGUUGUUGAGGGAAUUGAAAAUCAUUUUCCUCUAAAAUCUUCUUAGGCUCUAUAAAUUCUUCAAAUUAUCCUCGGCUUUGUCACUAUGGAAGCGUGAGGGGUCCUUUAGUCGAGCAGUUGUCUUCUUGUACCACGUUAUUGCUAGAGCAACAAAACUGAGUUGUUGGGUACCUAAAAAAGAAAAAACUCAUGAAAGUGACUCUAAAGUAUGUGGAGAACUGUGGACUAGAAGAGAAAAAAUUUGGAUAAGAAUGAAAAGAAGCAUUGUGAAACCCUAAUUUAUAGGUCACGGUAAAAUAGAAAAAAAUAAUUAAUGAGGUAAAUUUAGAAAUUGUAUUUGAAAUUUAAAAUAAAUCCACAUUUACGUUCGGGAAUUUAGGGAUUAUGUAAUCCAUUCUUAUUUUUUAUCUUGAUUUCUUGAGCCAUCUAUCAAAAAUUUACUCCCAACGGUGCAAAAAUACUUUCCAUAGUUAUGUCACUAUAACGGUAAGAAUCAUUGCUACAACAAGUAAUAUAGUGCUGCAGCAACUGCGAUAAAGUCCCUAGUUUGAUGAGAACCAUUGUUCAACUGUCAUAUAAAGUGUAAUGCUGCAACAUCUUGUGUCAGUGUUUUAUCCAAAAAAAAUUCAUUAUUAUUUAUACAUGCCGUAAUAAAAUAAUAGACACAAAUAAAUUAGAUAAAAACUUCAAAAUAUCAACAACCGUAAAGAAAAACAUGAAAACUAAAUUUAAUGUUAAAGGAAAAAUUGAAAUAACUCCCUUAAUCAUUGGGUUGCCUCCCAAUUAGCACUUUAUUUAAGGUCUUUCAGUCUGACCCCCCUUAAUUGCUCAAACUGGAUUUAUGAGGCACAAAUCCUCCCUUGAAUGGUGAAAAUCAUCAUUAAUAUAGUGUUUCACCCGCUGCCCAUUUACUAUAAAUUCAAUGCUAGUUCUCUCAUCUUUGAGGUCCACAGCCCCAUGAGGAUGGAUUUUGAUAAGUCCAAAAGGCCCUGACCAUCUAGACUUUAACUUUCCUAAAAAAAAGCUUUGAUCUAGAGUUGUAGAGCAAAACUCAUUGACCUAGAAUUAAAUCCCUUUGCUGGAUGCGUUUAUCAUGCCAUUGUUUUGUUUUGUCUUUGCAAAUCCUUGCGUUAUCAUAAAAGAACUAUCUUAAUCUUUAAACUCACAAAGUUAAAACUUCCUAUGCUCUGCUGCAACAUGCAUGUCCAUGUUCAGUUGUUUUAGCGCCCAAAAUGCUUUAUGCUCUAGCUCCAGUGGCAAAUAGAAAGCUUUGCCAUAUAUAAUUUUAUAUGGUGACAUGCCAAGUAGUAUUUUGUAAGCUGUGCGAUAUGCCUGUAAGGAAUCAUGUAAUCUAAAAGACCAAUAUUUUCUAGUAGGGUUCACCACUUUUUCUAAAAUCCUUUUUAUUUCCUUGUUGGACACUUCUGGCUGACCAUUAGAUUGAGGGUGAUAUAUUGUAGCAACCUUGUGCUUAAUUCUAUAUUUGGCCAAUGCUGCAGCAAAUAUUCUGUUGCAAAAAUGAGUGCUUUCAUCACUGAUGAUGGCUCUAAGAGUCCCAAAUCUUGUGAAAAUGUUCUUUUAAAUGAAUCUCACCAUGGCUUUGGCAUCAUUUGUUGGUAGUGUUACAACUUCCGCCCAUUUGAACACAUAGUUUAUAGCAACUAAAAUGUAUAAAUCCCCAAAAGAGGGUGGGAAUGGACCCAUGAAAUCCAUCCCCCCAACAUCAAAUAGCUCAACUUCUAAAAUGUUGGUUAAUGGCACUUCAUGUUUUUUAGAGAUGUUCCUUGUUAUUUGGCACCUGUCACAACAUUUAACAAACUUAUAAGCAUCUUUAAAAAUAGAGGGCCAGUAAUAACCUGAUUGUAUAAUUUUUUUACUGCUGGUCUGUGGCCUCCAAAAUGGCCUCCAUAUGCUACAGCAUGACAUGAUUGCAGUAUGUUUGAAAUUUCUUCAUCAGAUACAUAUCUUCUAAUCAUAUAGCCUGAGCAUAUCUUGUACAAAUAAGGUUCAUCCAACUGAUAACUUCUAACAUCAUUAAGAAAUCUCUUCUUCUAUUGGUAACUUAGAUUAAGUGGUAACAAUCAGCUCACCAAGUAAUUAGCAAAAUCUACAUACCAUGGAAGCCCAGAUUAUUGUAGCAUAUGUGUAUGCUUUAGCAUUAACAAUUGCUCAUUAAGAAAUGUCUCUGUGAUCUCUUGCUUGAUUAGAGUGCUUUCAUCUGCUUCCAGCCUUGAAAGAUGAAAUUCUCCUUGGUUCUCAGUCCCUAUUCUUUGUUUAAUCUCGAAGUCAAAUUCUUGUAGCAAAAGGAUCCACCUUAUCAACCUUGGUUUGGCAUCUUUUUUUUAAAAUCAAAUACUUUAUGGCUAAGUAAUCUGUGUAAACAGUCACUUUGGUGCCAACCAAAUAAGCUCUAAAUUUGUCAAAUACAAAGACAAUUGCUAGUAACUCAUUUUUCAAUGGUAGUGUAAUUAAUCUGAGCAUCAGCUAAAGUUUUGUUAGCAUUAUAAAUAGAGUGAAAAAUUUUGUUCUUUCUUUGCCCUAACACUGCUCCAACAGAGUGGUCGCUGGCAUCAGAUAUCAACUUAAAAGGUAAGUUCCAAUCUGGUGUUAUAACAAUUGGUGCUGUAGCAAAAGCUUUCUUCAAUUCUAUAAAAGUCUUUAAACAAAGCUUACCAAAAUAGAAAGGCCUAUCAUGCUCCAGCAGCUAGCAUAAGAGUUUUGAUAAUUUAGAAAAUCCUUAAUGAAUGUUAUAUAGAAUUAUGCAUGUCCCAAGAAAUUCCUAAUGCCUUUAACUGAAGUAGGUGGUGGGAGUUUACUAUUUUGACCUUCUCCACUUAUAUUCCUUUUCUAGAGACUUUAUGGCUUAGGAUUAUCCCUUCUUGUACCAUAAAAUGACACGUUUCCUAAUUCAACACUGAAUUUAUCUCCUCACAUAUUUUAAGCAUAUUUUCUAGAUUAUGUAAACAAUCAUCAUAGAUCUCCCCAAAAAUCGAAAAGUCAUCCGUGAAUACCUCAAGCGUUUGCUCUACCAUAUUUCAAAAAAUAGACAUCAUACACCUCUGGAAUGUUGCUAAAGCAUUGCACAAACUAAAGGACAUCCUUCUUAAAUCCUUCUGAAAUAAGCAAAAGUUUCAUAAAGACAAGUGAAUAUUGUCUUCUCCUUAUCCUCUAGUGCUAUAGCAAUAUGGUUGUAGCCAGAAUACUCAUCCAAGAAACAGCAGUACUUUUUUCCAACAAGUAUGUCUAGCAUCUAAUCUAUGAAAGGCAACGGGAAGUGAUCAUUCCUUGUGGCGUUGUUUAGCUUCCUAUAGUUCAUGCAAACUCUUCAUACAGUUACUGUUUUGUGGGAAUAAGCUCAUUCUUCUCAUUUGUUGCAAUAGUCACUCCACCUUUCUUUGGAUCACAUUGUACUGGACUCACUCAGGAGCUGUCGGAUAUUGGGUAGAUGAUUCCAGCAUCAAGUCAUUUGAUAAUCUCUUUCUUGGUCAAUUUGGGUGAGUACUUGCUAGCAAUCCUCUAGCAAUUAAUUUGAAUUCUUAUAGCUAUUUGACAACUAUUAAUUUAUGUUUUUAUAUUUUCAUAUUAAAUAUAUUUAUUUAUUUAUUUUGAUAAAUUUUUAAAAAAUCAUUACUUAAAUUUAAUUAAUGAAAUAUUUUAAAAAAAUAUUAAAUUGAUAAAAUAAAAUUAUAAAUAAUAACUAUUUGAUGACAUUAAACAAGUUAAAAAGUUAAAGGGGUAAUUUUAAAAGCUUUGAUUUCCAAAAGAAGAAGAAUUUGAAUUCUUCAAUUCUUUGUAUAAAAUUCAAAUUCUAUAUUAGGAUGAAUAGUAAAUUCUAAUAAAAUUUAAAUUCUUAUAUAUUUUGUCCAACCAAACAAUUAAAAAAAAAAAUUCAAAUUACUUUCCUAUUCUCUAUCCUCACCUCCCAACCAAACACCAUCUAAACUCCUUAAUAUGCCACCCACAUAUUCAAACACCUUUGAGAAUCAAAGUAUCCCAGAUCUCCAGUAAGGAACCACCCAAAUUGAAAAGUAGUCUUAUUAGCCUCAGGAUUACCUUUAAUCAAAGUAUCCCAGAUCUUGCUAGCAAUCCUCUAGCAAGAUCUUGUACAUACAUAUGGAGGGGCUGAUUCAUUUGAUAUCUUUCAUGGUCUAUCUAAUGGCCUUCUUGUAUCUCCCCAACAUUUCCACUCAGCUCUUUACUUGAUCUGCAUUCAAAGAAGAUGAAAUGAUUACAUGUAGUGUGUUAUUAUCACCAAGAUAAACAUAUUUUAGAUGUGAAGGUAGAAGUUUUAAGUAUAAAACAUGAGGUAAUUCAAUAGAUGGUACAGCAGGUUUCACUUCCCCAUUUGAAAGAUCUAGAGACUCAAAAUGUCUGUUUGUCCUCACAGGUCGCUUCUCUCUUAACUAUGCUAUAUGCGUUGCUGCAGCAUCUUCAUCUUCAAGUUCUUCAAAUGUGGCGGCCUUGAUUUCUUCAUUGUUGCAGCAAUUAUUUAAGAUGUCUGUGACAGUAAGCUUCACAGCACCGACCAAAUCACAAUCUUCAACUUCAUCAAGACUCAUCAUUGCUUCCAAUACAUUAAAGGUAACUUACUGAUCAUUAACCCUCAUACUCAACUCUCAUUUUUUAACAUCAAUUAAAGUUUUUCCUGUGGCUAAAAAGGGUUUGCCUAGAAUAAUUUGUACUUCUUUAUCUGCUUCAAAGUCCAACACUAUGAAAUCCACUGGAAAAAUGAAUUUAUCCACUUUAAUCAAUACAUCUUCAAUUUUGCCUUCAGGAUAAGCAUGAGAUUUAUCAGCAAGUUGCAAUGUCACUGUGAUUGGUCUGACUUCUCCAACUCCCAAUUAUGUGAAUACUGAUAAUGGCAUAAGAUUAAUGCUUGCUCUCAAAUCACAAAGUGUCUUACUAUUGUAUUUAGUUCUUGUGGAACAAAGAAUUUUAAAACUUCCUGGAUCCUUUAACUUCUAAGGAAUUUUACUUUAAAGUAUAUGGUUCCAUUAUUGUCUUAAAGCAACUAUUUUGAAUUCUCCAAGCCUUUUUUUUCUUGCCAAUAUAUCUUUAAAAAACUUCACAUAAUUUGGCAUUUGUUCCAAUACGUCCACAAAAGAAAUUUUGAAAUGCAGUUGUUUUAAUACUUCCAAUAAUUUACUAAACUGCUUGUCAUGUUUUUACUUCUGAAAUCAUUACGGGAAGAUUUCCCCUUGGGUAUAAUUAGGUUAUGUUCUUCUUUUUGGUACUUUAACUAAAAUAUGAACAUCCUUUUCAGACCUUAAGUUAAUCACCUUGCAAUGCUCUUUUCUUUCUCUUCUUGGAUCCUCUGUAUUGCUUAGUAAAUUGCCCUAAGGUAUGUUGCUCAAUGCUGUAGCAAGCUGUCCAAUCUGAUUCUCCAAGUUUCUUAAAGAUAUGGCUUGACUUUGGACUACUACUUCAUUCUUCACAAUAUACUCCAUAAUUAGAGUUUCAAAGGAACUAAAUUGAUCAUUACUGGUGUUUAUUUUCCCUUAAAAUUGCUGAUGAAAUCCAAGUGGCUAAGCAGGUCUGUUAUGUCCAUUAGAUGUUGCAACAUGCUGAUUCUGAUUGCUCCAUGAAAAGUUUGGGUGCUGUCUCCAUUCAGGAUUAUAGAUGUUUGAAAAUGGAUUGGUUUGAUUUUGUCUAUUGAAAUUGCCCGCAUAAUUGACUAAGCUGGAUUUCCAGGACAACUAUCAUAUAGAUGUCCCUCUCCACAAUAAACACAAGAGACUUCAGCAACUUGGUUAGUUGUUGCUGGAGCAGUGGUCGUUGAUUUUACCAUAUUUGUUAAUGAGGUUACUUGGGCUGAUAAUGAUGUCAGUGCAUCCACAUUGUGUACUCCAGUUACUCCUCUUAUUGCGGCUUGUCUAAUUAAUGGCCAUUAAUAGUUAUUGUUGGCUAUCUUUUUCAAAAUUUCAUAAGCCUCAUUGUAUUACUUAGACAACAAGGCCCCUAGUGUUUGAGUUCAACCCAUUGUAGAUAGUUUCCAAUUGUACACAACAAGGAAUACCAUGAUGAAGGCAUCUCCUGGGUAACUCCUUGAAUCUUUCCCAUGCAUCAUACAAGCUUUCAUCUUCAAGUUGAUGGAAAGAUGUGAUCUCAUUCCUCAACUUUACAUUCUUUGUCGGUGGGAAAUAUUUCAUCAAAAAUUUGUCAGCCAAAUCAUUCCAUGUGGUGAUGGAGUCUAGUGGCAAAGAAUUCAACCAUGCCCUUGCUUGAUCUCUUAAAGAAUACGGGAAAAUUUUGAGUCUCAAUGCAUCUUGUGAUGCUCCAGCAAUUUUAAAAGCAUCACUUACCUCCAAGAAUAGUUUAAGGUGAAGAUGAAGAUCUUCUUAUGGCAAUUCAUUGAAUUGCCCCACUGUUUGUAAUAUCUAAAACAUCACUGGUUUGAGCUCGAAAUUGACAACUUGCAUUUCAGGUCUAACUAUUCCAGGAUGUAUAACUUGAGGGGUCAACACGGCAUAGUCUCUAAUGGCUCUGUCUCUAUCAUCUGUCAUGUAGAUAAUAUUGUUGUUCCCUGGUUGUCCCCAAAUAUUCUGCUCAUUAUGGCUUUCUUGGUCAUUAACUGGUUAUAUUUCUCUGUGAGGGUUCAAGUUCCUCAUAUCUUGCAAAUCGUCCAUUACUACAGCAGCUUUUGAAUGCUUAUUCUCUUUCCUCAAUCUCCUUACAAUUCUUUCAAUCUCUGGAUCAAAUUGGAAUUCAACAUGUUUGUAUUUGCGCAUGCAAGGGUUGGUAGAGCUCUUCUACAAACACAUUAAAAAAAAAGAAAAUUAAAAUCUUGCAUCAACUAAAAUUGAUUUCACAAAACACAAUAAGCACCAAUCCCCGGCAACGACGCUAAAAACUUAUUGUAGGUUUUCUAAUGCUAUUAGUGUCAAUGUGCAAGUGCACAUAACAAGUAAUAUAAUGAUAAAUAUUCUAGAUUGUCUCCACAAGGAUUAUUGUUAUAGGAAUUGCUACAACAAUUUUAUCAGUGCAAUUUUUAUUCUAAAUUAGAAUUAAAAUAAAUUAUUAAAUUAAUGAACUAAUUAAGAUAAAAAUGCAAUAAGAAAAAUACAAUAACAUAAAUUAUCACAGCAAAUAUAAGGAUGUAACCAAGGGGAAUGGAGUAGUUGAGUAAUUAAACUCACUUAAUGGUUUUGAUUAUUUUUCUAAUGUUUGGUUCGAUUACUACAACAUCUUCUACAGCACUGGGAAGAAUCCUUAUGUAUCCUCAAUUGUCGCAUGUUGGAUGUCUUAUACCUAAAAACAACUUAACAAUGACCAAUUGUUAUGCUAACAUUAGAUAUAGCAUUACACGUUUUAGAUUCGAAUUACCCUACAAGGUGAAUCCUUAUAUCUAGUUCAUCACUAAUUUUAGAUUACGCAUGACCUUUUUUUAAUCAGGUUAAACCCAAUUCAGGAAACCCAAUCUAAACCCAACUUAGGAAACCUAAUCUAAACCAAGUAUUGUUAUGAUAUGUUCCACUAAGACAGGUCUUUAUAGGCUCUAUCUUAGCUAAUAUCACUAAAUGGGUGGUCAGCCAAAAUAGUGAAUUGAAAUAAGUAUUAUUAAAACAACGUACUAUAGCAAACAUGCCCCAAUAUAGUAUAUCAGUCAAUUAACUAUCAAGUUUGCUCAUCGCUCAACCACGAGUAAAUUUAGUUCAUAAUUUGCAAUAAAACAAUAAUCAAAAUAGUUUUAGCCAUCAAAUAAUCCAUCAUAACAAGAUAAAAGUAAGAGAACAAAAAAUAAGAGUUGAGAUCUGUUUGAUGUUCUUCUAGAAUUCUUUGUUGCCGUCUUCGAUUCUCUCUCUUGAUAUUUGUUUUAUCUUGUUUUGUUUCUCUAUUGUUUCUCUCAAAUGACGGUCUCUCCUUUUUCUUUGCGUUUGUACUUCUUUUAUAUCUUAGCAUCAGGGCAACCGGAAGCCUAGGGUGCGCAUAUUCUAGUUUAGGAAACUCAAGAUCGCAAUCUUCCAAGUAUUAUAAGCGAAAUCUUUUCUGCCAUUGUUCCAGGAUUGCUACAGGAACAAUGCUACAGCAAUGGCUUCAGCACCUGCACUGUUCCAGAAUUGUUUCAAUUCUUAUAUAACCAUAUUCUUUCUUUAUCUUUGCAAGCCUAUUGCAGCAGCAUUCCUCCCUUGAAAUUUGAGCUUCCGGUCACCUAUAAUUAUAUUAUGAUCUAAGCACAAAAAUUAUUCUGAAACAAUGCAAUUUAUUAAAAUAAACUAUGGAUAUUCAUACAAAAUAUAACUAAAAUGCAAUAAAAAUAUGCCAUUUACUCUCUAAGUAAUCUUGAUUUAAGUCUAAAAAUGUCAUGAAAACUUUCAUUUCACAGAGUUAUCAGCAGCAAAAGGGUUAAUCCAACUAUUGAUUUAGAUCAAGUCUAUAAUGACAAUAACCCCUAACUAUUUGAGCUUAAAGCUCUUGCCAGCAAAUGGGCAAUUGGGAUGAAAGUCCUCUAUAAACAACUUGAAUAGAUAAGUAAAGAAAAAAAAAUGUGGCUUCACUAAGUCAAAACAAAACAUAUAAUCUAUUCAUUCAGUAAAAAAGAAAACAUUUUAGCCAAGCAAGCCAUCUUGAAAAAGAAAAAGGCAAUAUAUGAGAAUCUCGUGGAAUCCAACCUGCCAACACACAGUGGGAUAUGCAAGGUGCUUAAUCAUCAAUCAGAUUCUGGCUUUUGCUAUAAAAAAAAAAUCAAAAGAAUAAUCUAGUAAGGAAGACAUGCCGCUAGAUGAAGAGCUCAUAAUUAACACGUGACAGGAGGCCACUAAAAAGAUAAAGAUGCCAACUAGAAGCAUUAAUAUUUCAGAAAGAAUCCAAAGUAAAGGAUAAGACUUAUCGAAAUCCUUACCUCAACCAUGUGAAGACUAUCAACCAUUAGAAAAAGAAGACAAAAGUUGCCCUUAAUAAUGCAAGAAGAAGGGGUUACCUUAUCUCUGGGAAAUCUAUCAGGCAACAAGUGUCAUGUAAAAAGAUAUAAUCUUAUCUCUAAAAUCUAUAUGUGUAAGAAAGGAUUAUCUUAUCUAUCUAAAUCUAUAAAUAAAGUCACGUAAGAUAGAAGAGGUAUCACUCACGAGCAUUCUCUUAUUCUCAUCUGUAUUCUCUCUUUAAAUUCAAAAAUUAAAUAAAAAAAUUGUUUUUGAGUGAAAUUAUUAUCUUUAUAUAACUUAUUUAGAUUUUAGAAAAAAAAAAUCAAGAAUAUACAUGCCAACACUUGUGCUAAAUAAAGAAGAUUUCAUAUUACUAAGCACUCUUCUAUAUCAAUUACAACAGAUUCACUUAGGCAUAUCUUACUGGCUUAGUCUGCAAUGUGUUGCUUUAGGCCGUGUGGAAUAGUUGUGGGAUUGAUCUUGCAUGAUGUGUGGAGCUAUAACAGUGCUGAGCAUGGGCCAAUUUAUAGGCUCAUGGAACUAGCAAAAUUAUUCUAGAAUUUUGAGGAUUGUACUCUAGUUAGUACUCUAAAUUAUCUUAUUAUAUUUUGCACAAAUAAAUGAUAUAGAGUGAUAAUAGCAACUCAAUUUUCAUAAAACAUGGAAAGAUGAGUCGCCAAAUUUCUAGAUGCCAUAGAUAAUCUAGACUUUAGUAAGGAAUAUCAAGUUAUUUAUACAAUGAAAAUUGUUAAAUCUCGAUUAAUUGCAAGGAAGCACUUGUAGAGAGAUAUAGAGAGAAUAAACUAUUAGCCUAAAAGGGCUACACAUAUUGUAAUUUUGAUGAUAACAAACAUGUGUCUUAAGUGAUUUGAUAAAUAUUGUAUAUCACAUUUUCAUUAGUUCUUGAAAGAUAAUAUUUAUGAUGAAGUGAAUCACGAAAAAUCAAGCUCAAGACACUCAACGGACAACGGCGUGAUCAAGAAUAAAGUUUAGAGUUCAACGGAAUCAUUAUUGCGACAAUUCUUGUAAAGCCGGUAUGAUUUAAAAUAUGAAUGAUUUAGCAUUUAAAAAGCUCAAGAUUUUGUUUAAUAAAUCAUUAUUUUUUCAUAAAUCAAAAGUUUUACAAGUAUAAGCUAAGUAUUUUAUGAAAUUAGUUAUUUUUCAAGAUGUGGACUAAAAUGAAAAUUUUUUACAAUCUUUGAUUUUAAAAAGUAUUGUUUUGAAUUCCAGAGUUUGACUUAUUUGCAAACAUUUAAAACUUUUUAGGUCAUACUAUAAUUUAUGAACGUUUGAGGACCCGAAGUGAAAAUAUCCAAAAAUUUGAUAAAGAGUUAGCGGCUAAUCGCCUGAGGGCUAGCGGCUAGCUGCCUAAGGAAAAUCUCAUAUUUUCAAAUUUUGGACUAAAUUAAAAGAUUUUGAGAACUUUGAAAUUUAUAAGUAUUAUGUUAAAUUUUGAAAAAAAUUAUUAAACUUUGGACCAUAUCAUAAUUUCAAAAAGUUUUUAGAAUAACAAGUAUUAUUUUAAAAUUCAAAAGUUGGACCUGUUUGUAAAGUGUUAUAACGUUUUGGGCCAUAGUAUAAUUACAUAAAGUUUUGGGCACAAAUGUAACUUUAUUGUUCUGAAGCAACGAGCCGGAUAAAUUAAGUGGCUAGUCACUUGUUUGCUGGAAUUUACCCAUAACGGCUAAUUUUCAAGCUUUAUCUAUAAAAACUCAACUCCAACUUCAAUUUGGAGACUUUUGCAAGCAUAAACAAGUGCAUAAAAUAUAUAUUGAGCUUUUAUUUCGCAAAUCAUCUUAUAUUGAAUCAUCAUUGUGCUAUUAUUUGUAGAUCUACUCUAAAAGAGAGUUUUUUUUGUUGUAUUAUUCAUUUUUCUCAUCAAAUUUGUAAGUGUAUAAGUGUGAGAAACACUUAUGUGAAGAGAUUGAGAGAUAAUCUCUUGGUUGUAAAGGUUUAUUGACAUCUUGAAAGUCAAAUGUAAUGAACUUGAAGCCUUGGGAAACUUGAAUAGUGAAAUCCUUAAGGUUGGUUGGCUUGGAGGCAUGGACGUAGGCGGGGAUUGCGGAACCACGUAAAAAUUAUUGUGUUUGCUCUAUUUUCCCUUACUCUUCUAUUAUUGUACUUUAUUGAAUUUUUUAUUUUUUAUUUGAUUAAGACAAUAGAUUGAAUUGUUGUGCGAAUUGUUUAGCGUAAGUUUUAAAAUCUCAAUUCACCUCCCCCCCCCCUCUUGGAUUGCAUAACUUGCAUUUCAUAAACUUUAAAGAUAAUAAUUAAAUAUACGACAGCUUUAAGGAAGAAAAUAGAAUAGUAUUAAUAGAAUCUAUUUUAACCGGUCUUGAAAUAAUUCAAGACAGAUGCAAAAUAAAUAACAGGACUCUAAACCGUCCAUAAUAAGUCUAUUGAUGAAUAAAAACAAUAAUAGUGAUGUGAAUAUAUUCGGAUUUUAUAGAUUUUUAUGAAUUUGAUAACCAUUUAGAUCUUUAUAAAAUUAUAAUAAAACUUUAAAAAGCUUUAAAAAUAUAUGUAGAAAAGAUGGAAGAAGAAAUCAUCCAUUUAUUCAAAAUCAAUUAAACAAAAAUAAAAGGUAAAAUACUUGAGUUAUAUCAAUUAUACAAUUUCACAAAAAUUUUACAUAGAUUGCAAAAAGGUCCUUGUGGCACUACAGCAGGUUUCAUAAAUUUUUUACAUACAAAUUUUAUGUUUUAAAAUAUGAAUUUUUUUUUGUAUUUAAUACUUUGUUCAACUAUAUGUACAGGUCCUCAACGUGUUGGUUGAUGUUGAAUAUUCAAAGAUCCACAAGCUAUCAAUGACAACGACUCAAAUUAAACUAAUUCGUUAAUACAUAAUAACUGGGUUGUUUCCUAUGCUUGUUAAUGAUGUAGGACGUUGUUUUAGAAUUUUAGAAUUUUAAUUUUUUAGGUCUUCUGAUAUUUUCUUUUUUAAUUAAAGUUAGUGUCUUAGUCUUUUAUUUCUAUUGUAAUUAUGAUUUACUUUCCCUUUUUAAGUUAACUUAUAAAAGUAGAUUUACUCUAUUAUAAAUAAAGAGAUCUUGUUAUCGCUUUUAUAACUUCAACUUCAGUUAUUAAAUUAAAAACCCCUCUUUUAUAAUUUCCUUUGGUAUUAUCUAUUAAAAAUUCCUCUUUUAGAGUUGUUUGAUUAGAGUAUCAUUUAGCCUAUCUUAACACAGUAUUAAAAAUCCCAUUGAGUUUAAUCAUACUUCGAUUUGAGCGUAAUUAAUAGCAUUGAUUUGGUCCAGUACUUGAACGAUAUCUAGUGUUUUGCUUCUGCUACGCCCAAGGAGAAAAUGAAUUUCACCGUGAGAUAAGAGCAUUAAAAGGAAUUCAUAAGAAAUUUAAAUUAAAUUAGCUACGAAGUGAAAAUAAAUAAAUAAAUAAAUGAAUAUGAAGUUGAAAAUAAGUCUCGCCGCCUGGAUCCAAGGCCAAAACAUUCAUGAUAAGUUAGGUAAUUAAGUACAUGUUUUCAAGCUCUUCAUGAAGAAUAAUGUUAUUGAAAUAAAUCACAAAGACUCCCUGCGCAAAUUAUUACAUUGAUUAAAAAAAAAAUGCCAUAUCUUUAACAGGAUCGUGGCUCUCGGACUGUUAAUUACUUUAUUCCCUGCUUGGCCAACAGCUGGCCACUAAACAAAAUCAUAAAAAUUUUAAAUUUAGUCAAAUUGGUCCCACUUGAUGUCAUCCUUUUCAUACAUAAAAUUGUUUAACGUCAAGGUUAAAUAUGAGAAGUUUGGUAGAGACGGUAAAAAGGAAGUCUAUAUAAGGAGGGGAACGAGCUUUGUUUAUAGCACAAGUGAAACUCCACUUUAUUGAACGAUAGGGUCUCAAAUGGGCUGCCUCUUUGCCACUCUUUUGGUAGUAUCAGUCUCUCUUAGCUACUUGCCGUUAGAAGCCUCCGCAAACAAAUACUACUACACAUCUCCUCCCCCUCCCAAGUACAAGUCUCCACCCCCCCCGCCACCGGUUCACAAUUCUCCACCACCACCCCCGGUUUACAUGCCCCCGCCACCUCCUCCACCAGUCUACGUGCCUGCUCCGGCACCAACUCCAAUUUCCUAUUCCCCGCCACCUCCUGUCCCCAAGUCCCCACCACCACCUCACCCUUACGUCUAUGCAUCUCCCCCUCCUCCUUACUACUACUAGAAAGCGGCCAUGAAUAGCUCAUGCUUUUAUGGUAAUCUCAUUUAUUUUUAAAACU